rnacentral:rRNA from 1 species
AUUGAACGCUGGCGGCAUGCCUUACACAUGCAAGUCGAACGGCAUCGCGGGAAAGCUUGCUUUCCUGGCGGCGAGUGGCGAACGGGUGAGUAACACAUCGGAACGUACCGGCUAGUGGGGGAUAACCCGUCGAAAGACGGGCUAAUACCGCAUACGCUCUUCGGAGGAAAGCAGGGGACCUUUGGGCCUUGCGCUAGUCGAGCGGCCGAUGUCCGAUUAGCUAGUUGGUGGGGUAAAGGCCUACCAAGGCGACGAUCGGUAGCGGGUCUGAGAGGACGAUCCGCCACACUGGGACUGAGACACGGCCCAGACUCCUACGGGAGGCAGCAGUGGGGAAUCUUGGACAAUGGGGGCAACCCUGAUCCAGCAAUGCCGCGUGGGUGAAGAAGGCCUUCGGGUUGUAAAGCCCUUUCGGCAGGGAAGAAAUCGGCGGGGCGAAUAACCCUGCUGGAUGACGGUACCUGCAGAAGAGGCACCGGCUAACUACGUG